GGCCUGGCAGCCACGCCUGGUUCUGGUCCUGGUCCUGGUUGGCCUGGCCUGGCCUGAGCUGAGCAGCUUUCUGUCUCUUACUUUUCUACACGUGUCAAACUAAUUUCGCAUUUUGUUACCUUUUACACUUUGCCGCAUUUGCGCAGGCAACGUCUCGCUUCCCUUUUUGCCGAGCACUGGAGGCGGCGAACGACGCCGGGGGCUCAUUGAAAUUCAUAAAAUAUUUGCACAGCGAAAUGGGCUACGUCGAGUACUGGCUGCAGGCACUGUAUUAUGUGUCAAGCACGUUUGAAUUUAAAUUCAAAUAUUUAUCAUAGAAGGCAAACAAAUAAGCAGAAAUAUGGUAAAUAGCAAUAAGUAGAACCUCCAAUGGAAAUACCACCAAAUGAAGACGAAACGGAUGGAAGAGGGAGAAUGGAAGACGGAAGAUGGAAAGGCCAGCAGAUGUGGACAAGGUAUGAAUACGAGCUCUUGCGGUCAAUUGUGGUAUUUAUCUCUCUACCAGACUCCCAUGAAGAUGUCAGCCUCAGACAGAGCUGACAACGAAGAGCAGAUAACUGGCAGCACGGCAAAUGCUGUCAGCGCAAAUUGCUCUACUUAUUCUGCAUAAUAAGUGAAGAAGAAGUGCGCCACGUAUACGGCAGAGUUUAGGGCCAAGGCUCACUAGCAGCUGCUCUUGAGAUUUAUUCUUUUAUAAGCUCUCUGUUAAUUAAAAAUUUUUUUCUUAAACAAU